CCCAAAAAAGACAGUCUCAGUUCGGAUUGAAGGCUGAAAUUCGCCUUCAUGAAGCCGGAAUUGCUAGUAAUGGCAGGUCAGCAUACUGCCGUGAAUACGUUCCCGGGCCUUGUACACACCGCCCGUCACACCAUGAGAGUUGGGGAUACCCGAAGCCUGUGAGCUAACAGUAAUGAAGCAGCAGUCGAAGGUAGAAUCAAUGAUUGGGGUGAAGUCGUAACAAGGUAAC
rnacentral:rRNA from 1 species